rnacentral:rRNA from 1 species
GAUGAACGCUGGCGGCGUGCCUAAUACAUGCAAGUCGAGCGAACAGACGAGGAGCUUGCUCCUCUGACGUUAGCGGCGGACGGGCGAGUAACACGUGGAUAACCUACCUAUAAGACUGGGAUAACUUCGGGAAACCGGAGCUAAUACCGGAUAAUAUAUUGAACCGCAUGGUUCAAUAGUGAAAGACGGUUUUGCUGUCACUUAUAGAUGGAUCCGCGCCGCAUUAGCUAGUUGGUAAGGUAACGGCUUACCAAGGCAACGAUGCGUAGCCGACCUGAGAGGGUGAUCGGCCACACUGGAACUGAGACACGGUCCAGACUCCUACGGGAGGCAGCAGUAGGGAAUCUUCCGCAAUGGGCGAAAGCCUGACGGAGCAACGCCGCGUGAGUGAUGAAGGUCUUCGGAUCGUAAAACUCUGUUAUUAGGGAAGAACAAAUGUGUAAGUAACUAUGCACGUCUUGACGGUACCUAAUCAGAAAGCCACGGCUAACCACGUG